GUUCUAGAAUGUCAUUCCAGAAAGAUCAGGUGUCAGAGGCCUUCAGGUCGGCCUCUGUCUCGUGUGGGUGUGGGCCGCAGGCGGACAGCAAACCACUCUCCCACGCCACUUCCGCCGGCACCUCUGUCUCCCACAGAACCUGGACCUGCCCUUUGCUGCUAGAAGGUCUCCUCUUCCUCCAGCCAUGGACUUGCCCAUCGUAUAUGCUGAUUUACAUCUCGCCAGGGGCCCCGCUCAAGACAGCGCCCCCUCCUCCACUCACCCGCCGGAGGGGUGCCGGGGGCCCUGUUGGCAUGGGCUGGCGUGGAAGCUUUUCUGCGCUGCUGUAACGCUGCUGGUCCUGGGCGUGGCUGGGCUGAGUGUGGCAGUGGUACUCUUAAUGCAAAAAUCACCGGCAGAAGAGGGCACAGUGGACAUUCAAGAAAACAGAACCGAAACAACAGUUCGUCUUCCAGUUUCUCCCGUAGAGAGACCAGCCAUGGCAGCGUGCCCUGUGUCUUAGCAUGAACUUGGAGACAAGUGCCUGUUUCUAUCAUCCACUCCUUUGUCUUGGAAUGACAGCCUGACCGACUGCUCCACAAAGCAAUCCAACCUGCUGCUCAUUCACGAUGCAGAGGAGCUGAGGCUCCUGUGGGAGUUUCUGGAACAUGACAGACAUCUCUACUGGAUCGGACUACAUCGCUCAGUGUCGGGCAAGAUGUGGAAGUGGACCAACGGCUCUGAGUUCAGCUCCUCCGGCCUCCAGCUGACGGGUGUGGCACAGGACACAAGCGUGUGGCAGGACACCAACUGUGCAGUCGCCUCCCAGGAGCGCUUGUACGCUGAGAGCUGCCAGGCCGAGCUGAGAUGGAUCUGCCAGAAGGAACGUUCUAGAAAGAGAUCACGGCGGUGACGGGCAUCUGCCCCCGGCCUCCCUGCAUCCUGGGAGGGAAAUGAGAGCCAUGGAGGGUUGGAGAGAGAGGGACACGCGCCACGUGAACAAAAACAGGCAGAAGGUCAGCACACACGGAAACUGGGCUGGGCAGGUGCUCAGGGCACAGUGCUCGCCCGGCGUGCACAAGGCCCUGGGUUCGAAUCCUCUGCACCACAGACAUAGAAAAAGCCGGAA